UACGAAGGGGGCUAGCGUUGCUCGGAAUCACUGGGCGUAAAGGGUGCGUAGGCGGGUCUUUAAGUCAGGGGUGAAAUCCUGGAGCUCAACUCCAGAACUGCCUUUGAUACUGAAGAUCUUGAGUUCGGGAGAGGCGAGUGGAAUUCCCAGUGUAGCGGUGAAAUGCGUAGAUAUUGGGAGGAACACCCGUGGCUAAGGCGGCUCUCUAGUACGGUACUGACGCUGAGACGCGAAAGCGUGGGGAGCGAACAGG
rnacentral:rRNA from 1 species